GAUGAACGCUGGCGGCGUGCUUAACACAUGCAAGUCGAACGGAAAGGCCCAAGCUUGCUUGGGUCCUCGAGUGGCGAACGGGUGAGUAACACGUGGGUGAUCUGCCCUGCACCUCGGGAUAAGCCUGGGAAACUGGGUCUAAUACCGGAUAGGACCACUUCUUGGAUGUUGUGGUGGAAAGUUUUUUCGGUGUGGGAUGAGCUCGCGGCCUAUCAGCUUGUUGGUGGGGUAAUGGCCUACCAAGGCGUCGACGGGUAGCCGGCCUGAGAGGGUGUACGGCCACAUUGGGACUGAGAUACGGCCCAGACUCCUACGGGAGGCAGCAGUGGGGAAUAUUGCACAAUGGGCGCAAGCCUGAUGCAGCGACGCCGCGUGGGGGAUGACGGCCUUCGGGUUGUAAACUCCUUUCGCUAGGGACGAAGCGUUUUGUGACGGUACCUGGAGAAGAAGCACCGGCUAACUACGUG
rnacentral:rRNA from 1 species